rnacentral:rRNA from 1 species
GGGGAAUAUUGCGCAAUGGGGGAACCCUGACGCAGGAAUACCGCGUGGGUGAAGGAGGGUUUUGGAACGGAAAGCUCUGUUAUUGGGGGAGGAAAAAAGACGGGACCCAAGGAAAAAGGCCCGGCUAACUUAGUUCCAGCAGCCGCGGUAAUACGUAGGGGACAAGCGUUGUCCGGAUUUACUGGGCGUAAAGGGCACCGCAGGCGGUUUUUUAAGUCAGAUGUGAAAGGUACCGGCUCAACCGGUGACAUGCAUUUGAAACUGAAAGACUUGAGUAUUGGAGAGGCAAGUGGAAUUCCUAGUGUAGCGGUGAAAUGCGUAGAUAUUAGGAGGAACACCGGUGGCGAAGGCGGCUUGCUGGACAAAUACUGACGCUGAGGUGCGAAAGCGUGGGGAGCAAACA